UUAUGCUGUUUCUUCUGUAUUGUUUCUUGGGGAUUCAUGAAUUCCUCCUUGAUUUAAAUGAUGAACUUGUUAGGUCUGCCUUAACAAAAUGAACUUUAUCUAUUGGCCUUGGAUGCAGGGAAUGUAAUUUGUUUGAAGCCUUCUUCACAUGUUGGGAACUUACUUACUUAUUCCUAGCAGUCUUAGCCACAUGAUAUCUUGUUCUAGGUAGAAUUGAGGAUUUGAAACUUAGCCCAGUCUCUCCCCAGUGCAUAAUCAAUGACAAUGAUAUGAGGAACACCACAGGAAACUAAUUUUAUGAUUUAGUUUGAGUUUUGUGUAUUUAUCAAGAAAGACACUUUUUUUUUUUUCUUUUAAUGUGAGAAUACAUGUAUUCUUUUAUAUGGCUAACAUGUAAAAUUUAUUUUCAGUGAAGCAGCACCUUUUUUUCUUUAGUGUUCUUGGAAAAGGACAAAAAUCUCACCAAGCAGAAUCCUAAUAUAAUAAAAAAGGACAUCUAAGUAUCAACAAUAUGAAUGAGUCUUCAGUAAACUGUCCAAAUAGGAGAUAAAGCACUUUCUAUGGGAUCUUGGUGCUACAGCAAGUCAAGGAACAAGCAGGCUAAACAAGAAUAGUUUUGUUUAAAUGAACAAAAAGGACUUGCCAGUAAGAAACUUUCUGCUGUUUGAGAAAUAUCUUAAUUAUCUUUUGUGAUAUUAUUCCUAUUCAGUCAUUUUUCCUGUGAUUCAUCUGGUUUUGUUGUAAACAUUUAUCCAGACAUUUAAAUGUGUCUAGUAAUUUUAAGUACCUGCAGUUGCUAGUCAUUCCUUGGUACUGUCAUUGCUUUCCAAAGAUAUUUUGAAGCUUCUUCCACAAUUAUAAAUGCAGAAUUGAUUUGGUUACUCUUGUAUCGCAAAUGAGAAGCUGUUAUAAUUCCAUCUCUGCAGUUGUAUAAUUGGAAAGUUAUUUUAUAUGAAAAGCAAAUGUCAUUAUGUGAAAAGACUUGAAUAUUAAUCCGACGCAGCUGGAGCAACUAAGGACAAACAUUAAUGUGUGUUUAGGGCCUAUUCAAGCAUCAAGACUUUGUGUCCUGUCUAGACAAAUGAAUGACAAUCACUUGUCACAGUCAAAUAACGUUAUUGGUUCCAAAACAAAAGAACAUAAUGAUCAAGUAAGAGAGUCAACUGCUACUUCAGGUACACUGAGGUUUAAAGCCAGUGUAAACACGUUCACAAAGGAAUGCUUAAUAUAUAAAUUCCAAUACCUGUUAGGCCCAGCACCCUUGGUAACUGCAAGAAUGGGGUGAUUCUAUUUAUCUAAUUGUAGAAAUUUGAGUGGGUAAUGAGGAAAUUUACCAUUAUAAAGUGUAAGACUACUAUAAAAGACUGUCAAGUAAGUUCUCUGCCAAUUAUGGCAGAUUUCUCCCUGUGAAUGAAGCAGUGGUGUCUCAUUAUGUUUUCUCUGGUUCUUUAUUUGCUUGUUUGCUUUUCUUCCUUUGUCUAAAUAAAAAAAUCCAAAAGGA